rnacentral:lncRNA from 1 species
CGAUUUUGCUGUUAGGAAGCAGAUUAUAGAAACCCCUGGCAGGCUGCCUGUCUGAAGCAGGGACAGUAUUGACAGGUAGACAACACCCAGUCUGCCCCGCCCCCCACACCCCUCACAGAAAGCGUCCUGCCUCCCUUUCAGAGCUCUCUCUGUGCCAGCCAUUCAGCCCGGCGACCCCCGCAGGCACAGCAACACACUGGGGCCUUUGUUUACCUUGGGAACGGGCUGCCGGCGGGGCGGCUACAAAGGAAAGGGUCAGGAAGGGGAGGGGGAGGGGCGGCCUGGGAAAAUCGCCAGCGUGGGAUCGGUGACGGGGCUCGACUUCCUGAAGCCGUGUGUCUUCCGCGACUGCGGUCUGCACCAGACCCGCUGGCUACUCGACAGCCGGCAGCUCCUCCUUCUUCACACCCCCCAGACCACCCCAGCCUGCCAAGUCUCAGGAAACACAGACGUGCAGAUCCCGGCAAUUCAGCUGUAGGAACCCGCUCAGACGGAGAGAGAAAGAGUGUGUGUGAGCGAGAGGAAGAAAUACCUAAGGCUUUGAUGUCAGGCUGUCGUCUUGAGAAGCAGUGGUGUUUAGUCUGCACAGAUCCCAGUGAGUCUAGGCGUGUCCUGGAAAAACCACAGCCCAGCAUUCCGACAGCUCAGUCCUCUCCAGAAGAAAAAAACAUUUGGCCUUCAUGCUCUGACAGGGAUGACACAUGCUGCUUCCCUCCAGGCACUGGUGCACAGAUGACAUCAGAGUCGUCAGUACUGAACCUGUUCCUAGGAUUAGGCCUUUUCAGAAGUCUGUUUAACGAGUGUGCAGGUGACUGCUGGGUGACCUUUCUUCAGCAUUGCUCCAAAUAUUUCAGAUCCGCUCAGGGAUGUCCAGUUCUGCUCCUGUUACUGGUCCAAUCACCGUUAAAUCACCAGUUUAUGAAGACAUUGAACAAUUCCAGAGUUCUCGCUUAAAGAGUGGUACAGGAGGAAAGCAGCUCUUGUCUAAUAUCUGGGAGGACCCCUGCUGUCCAGGCUCACUGUACUCCUCCCAACAUGGCAGACACUACUGACCCAGUGCAAUCAGAAGAACAGUGAGAAACCAGAGGAGCCUCUGAGUCCAUCUAUCCUGCCUGCCUGUUCCUGGCUAAUUGAUCUAAGUUAUCUCGUCAUGCUGUUUCUCUCUGGAAUCCAGGAUGUCAGAUUUGACAACAUGUCUGUGUAGCUUGUUCCAGACUCCCACAACCCUUUCGGCAAAUGGAGUGCCACCUGUUUUUGUUUAUAAACUACAUUUCCCUGUAGUUCUCACUGGUGUCCUUCGGUUCCUGCUCCACUCUUUAUUCCAAAGAAAUUCACUGGGCUGAAUUUGUCUAUGCCUUUGAGGGUUUUAAUUCUUGGAUUAUGUCCAUUCAUUGUCUUCCCUGUUCAAGAUUAAAAACAGAGGUUUAGUUCUAUUCAAAACAAGUUCAGUUCCUUCUGCCUCUCAGUGUAGGACAUUCCUUUAAACCCAGGAAUGCAUCUGGUUAUUCUUUAUUGGACUGAUUCGAGAGCAGCAUGAUUUUUUGUACGUGGAGACUGAAAUUAAAAUAAUAAUUUAAAUUAUGCCUUGUUAGUGAAUUAUAAACUUUUAACAUGAUGCUCUUUGAUUUAAAUUCUACACUUUUAACUACAGUAUAUAUCCUACCAAUUUGUUUGUCCUUUUUAUCGCUUUCCAACAUUGUCUUAAAUAUUCAAAUGAAAAACAUUAUUUUUCAUUAGUAACUUCUUAAUGUAUCCAAUUUUAUAUAUAGAGGCUAUCUCUGCUGCCUGUAUAUAACCCGCUGUACUUGAAAUAUUAGCUGUCAGGUGUUUACUUAACCUCAAAUUUAGCCCAAGGUGUUUUGAAUGUCUUUUGCAGCUUCUGGUGUUUUCUUAUCCUCUGGAAUCACCUAUGAACUUGACCGGUUUUCUAAUUAUCCCAGAAUCUAGAUAUGCAUUUAGAAGAGCAGAGGUCCCUAAUACAGGUCCCUGUGGUACUCCAUUGAUUACAUCAAUUCAACAUGAGCAUUUGCUCAUUAACUAUACUCUCUUCUCUGUCCACUACCCAGUUCUCAAUCUAAACACAUGCUUUACCUAGAAAACCUGCUGUCAGCAAUUUAAGAAUGAAUCUUUUUAUGAGGAACAGUUCUGACAUUCCAGAAGCUCAGUAUUGCUCCAUAUAUGGUUGAUUCUACCCAAAACCAUCACAGCGGCAUCUGAUUGUAAGAUCGGGUCAUUCUGCCUCAUAGAUGUCAGCUCAGGUCUACAACAGGCUUAAACUCCCCAGGCCCUCUAUAUCACCAAGAGUACUAAAACAUCCAUAAACUAAGCAAACAACUAAUAUUAUUUACUCAUCCUGUCUUGAUUAAUCCUGUGAAUAGAGAUUACCUGAUAAUAUUAAAAUACUUUUUUGUGUUUUGUGCGCUUAAGCCAAAAU